AGCCUAAACCUUGAGUAUUUUGCUUGGGGCAUGGCUGAAAACCCCGUGAGAGAUACUGAACCCUACGUUCAGCAACUCUCACGGGUCAUGCCUCGAAAGGGGCGUGGGGCUGCAAAGCCU
rnacentral:sRNA from 12 species